rnacentral:tRNA from 1 species
GGGCCGGUAGCUCAGCCUGGUAGAGCGCCUGACUUUUAAUCAGGAGGUCGCGAGUCCGAAUAUCCCGGAGGGCAGCAAAAUCCCUCAGGAUUUGGGAGUCUCGUCCGGCCCA